AAUCUGGGCCUAUUGACAAGUUCAAGGGUUGGAAUGGCUUUUGGAACUGAUCUACGAUGUUUGAUAGACCUUAGAAAGGUUUUGACAAGUUACUGAAGUAAGAAAGUAACUGGAAUUGGAAAAUUGCAUCGUAAAUGCAUUAUCAAUUGCAACGCUUCGAAUUUGGUCAAUUACGAAGUUCGAAUGUGGGAAAUGGUAAAUGAAACUACCCUACAUAUUCUAAAGGGCUUAGACAAGUUUUUGGACAAGUUAGAGGGUGAUUGGAAAGCUAAAAGCAAGAAAGUGCAUUGCUUUGGCGAAAUCUGUAUUUUUUCUGCUUGCUGUACCGGUACAGCCACAUCGUAUACCGGUACGCAGUGCCAGAUACGUGGCAGUAAGGCUGUUUUGGUAAUUUCACAUCUUGCCUCUAUCCUUAUCUACCCAGCACGCCCCCUGGAGGUCUUUGGAUGAUGCUAGAGCUCAGAGAAGUGCCUUUGCACCUCCCUCAUUUUCUCUCUCUAGGGUUUCUCUCUCCUCAAGUAGAAAUCGCCUAUUCGAGCUUAUUUCGCGCCGCACGCGUUACUCGCUGGGUUGGAAACUCAAGGAAAGCUUUUGGAACGUGGGGAGGAGGAUAUUUGCUGACUUUUCUGGGAUUUUAACACCAGAAAGAGCUGAGUUGCAGCUUUUGAAAGCUGAGUUCGAGGGCAAUUUCAGCAGCUAAAGAGAGGUUAUUUAGCUGUGAUUGAACCAUCUUAGACCAGGGAUAAGCUGCUCCAAAGUUGGACAAAGCAGGUUUGCGGAUUAAUUUAAGCUUAAUUGGUGACCUUGGGGACUGGUUAAGAGGUGUUCCAACUAAGGCGGGCUUGCAACGGACUUUCGGAGUAUCUCCGGCUGAUGUGUAAAGGCUUUUAGAAGCUUAACUUGAGCAGAGUUGGGACUCCGUUGAGUAGAGUUUCGGGACUUCUUGUGGCUGGAUUGAGCUUCAUAAUAGCUUGCAAUGUCAAAGAUGCACCCUACGGCGACUGAGACAUCCGACCCCGAAAGACGUGCACCUUCUGAAUUUAGCGAGAUUCGGGAAUUAAAAGAGCAGCUGGCUACUCUAGUUGGAGUGGUGGAGCGACAAGCGAAUGUGACGCUACUUCAAGCCGAGGCUUUGCGCCGACAGGAUGAAGGAAUCAGACGGUUGGAGACCCUGUUGAUUCAACAGACGGCUGAUCUCAAGAAAUGCCACGAGGUUUCGGAUCGUACUUUGACCGUGAGAAAAGGUGUGGAAUACACUGAAAGAGCCAAAGAGGCUACCAAGGGCGAUCAAUUACAUGUCGGGGAAUCAUCAAGGAAACUAAAGAAGAAUCAACCUUGGAAACGUGGUUCUUUUUCUAAACAAAGAAGAUUGAGUGGACGAUUACCUCGGCUAUGUGUAAUUUGUGGAGGUCCGCAUGUUCCCCCAAAGUGUCCUCAGCGGAAAGGAAAGUGUUUUGUAUGUGGUCAGGAGGGCCAUUUUCGCUCUGAGUGUCCCAGAAAUAACAUGUUGACUAAGGUAUCUGCACCGACUUUGUUGCAAAGAGUACCC